ensembl:lncRNA
GGGAUAAGCGAGUUAAAAGAAAGUGAGGUAGAGAGCCCUGAAGAGAGAGAAGUAUGAAAGGGAGACAGAGACGAGAGAGAGAGAGAGAGAAAAUAAAGAAACACAUGAAAGGUAGAGAGAGGAAAGAAAGUGGUAGAGAGCCCUGAAGAGAGAGAAGUAUGAAAGGGAGACAGAGAUGGGAGAGAGAGGGAGAGAAAAUAAAGAAACACAUGAAAGGUAGAGAGAGGAAAGAAAGUGGUAGAGAGCCCUGAAGAGAGAGAAGUAUGAAAGGGAGACAGAGAUGGGAGAGAGAGAGAGAGGGAGAGAAAAUAAAGAAACACAUGAAAGGUAGAGAGAGGAAAGAAAGUGAGGUAGAGAG